UCUGACCUCCUCCGUACACAGCACGAGAGCUAUAUUUAAGCCUGGGUUUGGAAUAUGCUGUGAGAAGACAUGUCCUGAGUUAUUUAAGGAACCCAGGCUCCCUGCCUAUUGCAUGUGGGCUAAGCUAUGAAAGUGCCGGGGGAAAAGCCACAGGAGCACCUAUCAGGGAGGAUGUCUCAUCGAAUCACAUAAUUGCAAUGACAAAUUUCCAGAUUCAGAGCGGCAGCACAAACAUCAGAAGUAAUAUGCCCUACUCCUUCUUUUUGAAUGAAACCUUUCAAUGGAGAGCUUUAUCAGAGGUGCAAGUGAACAUGAGCCGGCUAAUAAGAAAAAUAAAACGGACAGAAAGAUGCAUGAUGGAACUCAUA